rnacentral:rRNA from 1 species
UGAACGCUGGCGGCGUGCCUAAUACAUGCAAGUCGAGCGAACGGACGAGAAGCUUGCUUCUCUGAUGUUAGCGGCGGACGGGUGAGUAACACGUGGAUAACCUACCUAUAAGACUGGGAUAACUUCGGGAAACCGGAGCUAAUACCGGAUGAUAUUUUUAACCGCAUGGUUCAAAAGUGAAAGACGGUCUUUCUGUCACUUAUAGAUGGAUCCGCGCUGCAUUAGCUAGUUGGUAAGGUAACGGCUUACCAAGGCAACGAUGCAUAGCCGACCUGAGAGGGUGAUCGGCAACACUGGAACUGAGACACGGUCCAGACUCCUACGGGAGGCAGCAGUAGGGAAUCUUACGCAAUGGGCGAAAGCCUGACGGAGCAAAGCCGCGUGAGUGAUGAAGGUCUUCGGAUCGUAAAACUCUGUUAUUAGGGAAGAACAUAUGUGUAAGAAACUGUGCACAUAGUGACGGUACCUAAUCAGAAAGCCACGGCUAACUACGUG